rnacentral:tRNA from 1 species
AGUUCGUAGCUCAGCUGGUAGAGCAUGCGCGUACGUAGGCGGUGUCCAUGCGUGGGUUCGAAUCCCACCGAGGCUA